GUUUUUUUGAGUACAGGAAGCAGUUUUUAAAUAAACAAUGAAAUCAAACCGACUCUCUUUUAAAAAAACACUGAGCAAACAGCAACUUUUUUUAAAAAAAAGUUGAUGCAUCGGAGAGUCACGUGAUGCAGCCUCUGCAAGCAGACGUGUGUCGGUGAGCUCCAGCUACACCAGAUGUUUCCAGAAGAAUGCCCAGCAGCAGAAGAAACGAGACCGCCUGCUUCAUCAUCGGGCAAAAAUCAAGGACUGAAUCCUCAUCAAGAUGAAGUUCGAGAGUCAUGGACACGGCCAGUGGUCAGCGCCUGUGCGUGUUUCUCAUGAGCCGCUGCUGCUGCUGCUGCUGAGGAUGCAGAGAGGCGCCUCAGCGAGAGGCCGGCAGGGGAGGAGGGGCAUCUGCAGCUACACAGAACACUGCUGAACCUGUUCCUGGGGGGCUGAACGUUUAGCCUCAUCCAGACGUUUUCAAUCUGCCUCAUCAAAACUGGAAUGGUUGUCUCAUUUGCUAAUCCACCUGGGCUAAUGUCGUCCAGUUAUAGGGCAGUUUUGUCAAACAUGAUUCAGUCGUUACACUGACAAAACUAAUGAGAAAAUUUUUUUUUUUUUAAAUCCUCGUAGCAGUUUGCACUAAUAUUUUUUAAGUAAAUGUAAUUACAAUAAAUUCAAAUAUACCUUAAUCGUCUAUAUCUAGUAAAUAACCCUAAGCAGAAAGCUAAAGAUUGUUGCUUAAAUUAGGUAAAUUUCACUUUUAGUUCAUCUAAAUCUUGUUACUAGUACUUAAUCAAAAUAAGCAAAACUGAUAGAUUUUCUGAGUUUGCCGUUUCGCAAUAAAUGGGGGAAAUGUCAGCCUUUGCAAUAUGUAAGGUUAUAGAUCAGGGUUUCUCAAACUUUUUCAGGCCAAGGACCACUUGCCCCAUUUAACAAACUCUUACGGACCACCUAGUUUGAAAUUGUCCCCACAAUGACGCAAAAUCAAAACAUAUAUAACCAUC